AUUGAACGCUGGCGGCAGGCCUAACACAUGCAAGUCGAGCGGAUGAAGGGAGCUUGCUCCUGGAUUCAGCGGCGGACGGGUGAGUAAUGCCUAGGAAUCUGCCUGGUAGUGGGGGAUAACGUCCGGAAUCGGGCGCUAAUACCGCAUACGUCCUGAGGGAGAAAGUGGGGGAUCUUCGGACCUCACGCUAUCAGAUGAGCCUAGGUCGGAUUAGCUAGUUGGUGGGGUAAAGGCCUACCAAGGCGACGAUCCGUAACUGGUCUGAGAGGAUGAUCAGUCACACUGGAACUGAGACACGGUCCAGACUCCUACGGGAGGCAGCAGUGGGGAAUAUUGGACAAUGGGCGAAAGCCUGAUCCAGCCAUGCCGCGUGUGUGAAGAAGGUCUUCGGAUUGUAAAGCACUUUAAGUUGGGAGGAAGGGCAGUAAGUUAAUACCUUGCUGUUUUGACGUUAUCAACAGAAUAAGCACCGGCUAACUUCGUG
rnacentral:rRNA from 1 species